rnacentral:ncRNA from 2 species
GGGAAGCCGGUGAGAAGCCGGCGCGGUGCCGCCACUGUAUGGCAGAGUAUGCUGCAUAUGCCACUGAAGUAUUUCGGGAAGGCGCAGCAAAGCGAUGAUGCCGAGCCAGGAUACC